CCUACGGGUGGCAGCAGUCGAGAAUCAUUCACAAUGGGGGAAACCCUGAUGGUGCGACGCCGCGUGGGGGAAUGAAGGUCUUCGGAUUGUAAACCCCUGUCAUGUGGGAGCAAAUUAAAAAGAUAGUACCACACGAGGAAGAGACGGCUAACUCUGUGCCAGCAGCCGCGGUAAUACAGAGGUCUCAAGCGUUGUUCGGAAUCACUGGGCGUAAAGCGUGCGUAGGCUGUUUCGUAAGUCGUGAGUGAAAGGCGCGGGCUCAACCCGCGGACGGCACAUGAUACUGCGAGACUAGAGUAAUGGAGGGGGAACCGGAAUUCUCGGUGUAGCAGUGAAAUGCGUAGAUAUCGAGAGGAACACUCGUGGCGAAGGCGGGUUCCUGGACAUUAACUGACGCUGAGGCACGAAGGCCAGGGGAGCGAAAGGGAUUAGAUACCCCGGUAGUC
rnacentral:rRNA from 1 species